rnacentral:rRNA from 1 species
AACUAACGCUGGCGGCGCGCCUAAUACAUGCAAGUCGAACGAUGUAGCAAUACAUAGUGGCGCACGGGAGAGUAACACGUGGAUAAUCUCCCCUCGAGAGAAGAAUAACUAGUCGAAAGAUUGGCUAAUACUUCGUAAGACCACAGAAACAAAUGUUUCAGGGGUAAAAGUCGUAAGACGCUUGAGGAUGAGUCUGCGUCCCAUUAGCUAGUUGGUGAGGUAAUGGCUCACCAAGGCUUCGAUGGGUAGCUGGUCUGAGAGGAUGAUCAGCCUCACUGGAACUGACACACGGUCCAGACUCCUACGGGAGGCAGCAGUAGGGAAUAUUGCACAAUGGAGGAAACUCUGAUGCAGCGACGCCGCGUGAGUGAUGAAGGACUUCGGUUGUAAAGCUCUGUUGUCAGGGAUGAUAAUGACAGUACCGGGAGAAUAAGCCCCGGCUAACUCCGUGCCAGCAGCCGCGGUAAU